rnacentral:piRNA from 1 species
GCACAAAUCAGAAGGAAGUUUAGGUUGA